rnacentral:misc_RNA from 1 species
UCAAACUUGGUCAUUUAGAGGAAGUAAAAGUCGUAACAAGGUUCCGUAGGUGAACCUGCGGAAGGAUCAUUACUGAGUGAGGGCCCUCCGGGUCCAACCUCCCACCCGUGUUUAUUCGUACCUUGUUGCUUCGGCAGGCCUGCCUCACGGCCGCCGGGGGGCUUCUGCCCCCGGGCCCGCGCCUGCCGGAGACAAUUCUGAACGCUGUCUGAAGAAUGCAGUCUGAGCGAUUAGCAAAAUUAGUUAAAACUUUCAACAACGGAUCUCUUGGUUCCGGCAUCGAUGAAGAACGCAGC